GAAUUCGUUCCGAAUCACCAAAAGGUCGUUGUUAUUAGUCAUUAUCUAACAAGAUUUUUACAGGAGUGCCAGACGAAUACGUACUACUUACAUCACAUAAAAAUGCAGUGAAAUUACCAAUUAUGCAAGAUAUUCUGACCAGAGCAGAAACAGUAUAACGUGCUUUUAUGGAAACCAUAGAUGUGACUUAGAAUGCUCGUUGUCAUUUUGUAAGUCCUGUCCGCCAUGUCUACAAAGAUCUAAAAAGAUUAAUUUCGGGAAAGAUUCAGUUGUGAUAUCAAACAAGCUCAUUGUACUUUGUCAGGAUCUCGAAUUUACUGUGACCAUAACGUAUGUAAAUAAUAAACCUUGCUUAAAAGUUACUAAAGGUAGAUAGAAAAAUAAUAUCUAGAACUAUGCAUUUAACCAUAUAUUAAAAUAUAAACUAAUUAAAAAAUAA